rnacentral:tmRNA from 1 species
AAAUUUUGCAACCGAGAUAAAAGAUGAUACAAUUACCCUGUCAGAAAUGACUAUAAUGAUAAACGUUGUGAGUAAUAGGUACUGUGGACUCGGGGGCGGAGCCCGACACUUCCACCAAGAUUUAUGGGAGUGAAUAGAUUCGACAUGGGCUGAAAGGCAUAGCUUUCAUUCGGGGCGGUUUCCGUUAUAGAACCAAUAAAUAUAAAUGCGAAAAAUGAAUUAGUCGCAGAGAACGAUAACGAGGUAAGGGCGUUCGCUAAUGACAAUAUCCAGAGUGAUGUUGCGUUGGCUGCCUGAUCUGAGGUAAGUGAUCGCGGUUUGGGGGCACCGGGCAACAGAAGCUCCCGCCU